CACGUAGGGCGCAAGCGUUGUCCGGAAUUAUUGGGCGUAAAGAGCUCGUAGGUGGUUUGUUACGUCUGCUGUGAAAACCUAGGGCUUAACCCUGGGCUUGCAGUGGAUACGGGCAGACUAGAGGUAGGUAGGGGAGAAUGGAAUUCCUGGUGUAGCGGUGAAAUGCGUAGAGAUCGGGAGAAACACCCGUGGCGAAGGCGGCCUGCUGGGCCGAUCCUGACGCUGAGGCGCGAAGGCGUGGGGAGCGAACGGG
rnacentral:rRNA from 1 species